UACGUAGGGGGCUAGCGUUGUCCGGAUUUAUUGGGCGUAAAGAGCGUGUAGGCGGCCAGGUAGGUCUGCUGUGAAAACUCGAGGCUCAACCUCGAGACGUCGGCGGAAACCAUCUGGCUAGAGUGCGGUAGAGGAUGGUGGAAUUCCCGGUGUAGCGGUGAAAUGCGUAGAGAUCGGGAGGAACACCCGUGGCGAAGGCGGCCAUCUGGACCAGCACUGACGCUGAGGCACGAAAGCGUGGGGAGCAAACAGG
rnacentral:rRNA from 1 species